rnacentral:rRNA from 1 species
UGCGUAGGCGGGUUUCUAAGUCAGAGGUGAAAGGCUACGGCUCAACCGUAGUAAGCCUUUGAAACUGGGAAACUUGAGUGCAGGAGAGGAGAGUGGAAUUCCUAGUGUAGCGGUGAAAUGCGUAGAUAUUAGGAGGAACACCAGUUGCGAAGGCGGCUCUCUGGACUGUAACUGACACUGAGGCACGAAAGCGUGGGGAGCAAACA